GUGUCGAUGGCUCAGUGGAUAUAGCUUACGACUAGAGAUCGUAAGGUCCCAGUUUCGAAUCUCCAGACA
rnacentral:tRNA from 1 species